UGCUGAACAAAGGAACUUCUCAGUUAGGAAUAUUCAGGGUGUGAUUAAAUGUCCCAGAAGGAGAAAAGCCUGUAAACAAGGACGAUAUUCCAGCCCAAUCAAGAGGAAACCAACUCCUAUUCUCUCCUGCAGAAAGCCUGAUCUCUGUGCACAGCGAAAACUAUCCUUUUGGCUAGAAACUUGGUUUUCCUUAUUCCACUUGUCUCCAUGUCCACGACACUUGGACAUGCUGUGAUGUGAAGGGCAGUGGGCAGAUUCAGAAGAUUUGGAUUACAGAUGAGGAAAAUAAGAGAAGUUAAAUGAAUUGCUUAAGGUAACUUGCUUAAGAUAGAUCCAGGUUUAACUCAACAUCUUCUGACUGCCUAGAGCUCCU
rnacentral:lncRNA from 1 species